CUAAUAAUGUUGCAACAUUGAAAGGAAAAUAUACAGUCGAUCUCUUGACCCUUUUUGAAUUUGCAUUGGUCUGGUUUUAGUUUGUUCCACAGCGUUUUCAUUACGGCGCGUCUGUGUGCGAUGGUUGUAAUCAACAGCCACAGACAGUAAAGUGGGAAAACCUAAAUGUGACGUCAAUGCCUAGUAACUGACGCAGCCUCCAACAGGAAAAAAGACUGACUGCAAGGCUUAAUUAUCAUCUUUUGUAUACUGUUUUAUACAUACUGCUGUUACUGUUUACUGUCAUAUAUGUAGACCUAUAUAUAAAAGCGUUGAAGUCGUAGUGUAGAGCUGAUUUUUUUUUGUGUCUCGCUUUCUUUCGCGCGCGCUCUCUCCCUCUCUCUUGAGCAGCGAAUCCGUCCUGAGUUUCCAAGCGAAAGUUGCAUGGAGACACACAGCGUAAGACGCGUGUAAUGAAGAGAAUGGUGAGAGAGGGAGAGAUAAAAGAGAAGGAAAGCGGGAACAAACUCAUACCAAGCGAGAUCACAGCAGAUCUCCACCGAUGAGUUUACGAGUUGUUUUAGGCAACAGAAAAAAGGGCAUCGGGGCAGUAUUGUAACCAAAAACCACUGCAUCGAUGCAACAGAACCGACUCGGAGCCCGUGCACGGAGUUGGAGAGGCAGAAAUUAAUGUACAUUGCAUGCACUCCACGUAACGCUCCGGAGCGAUGCCUUUGUGAGUGUUUUUUUUUUUCGUACUGCGAGCUAAAAAUAGCAGCAGUGUUUGAUCGCGCUCCAGAAAUAGGCAGUGGGGUAACACAAGUAUAAAAAGGACUGCAAUUCUGAGAAACCUUGGACAUUGCUGAGCAAGGGCUCGCUGCAUAGGUAAGUACAUGUGCAAAGCGGUGUUCGAUUCAGUGUACUUCUUGUGUUUGAUUAUUGCAACGGGGUUUGGUGCAUGCAUGGUGUUGGGUUAUACAGAAGCCAUUCACGCCACAGAGCAGAAACGACGCAGGGGUAAACAACAUUUGUACCACCUGCAUGGACUUCAUCCAAGCUUUGAUUGUAACUUCAUGUUUGUUUUUUUCUCUCAGCUUCAUGGAAAUUUAAACGCCAUCUCUCUCUCUCGAGCAGGAAUCUCACAAACCGUAAAUAUGACAACCAAAAAAAAAAAAGCAAGACCAAACUCAUUUGUCUGACGGCGCUGUUGAGCCAUUUUACGCUUUCUGUCUUCGCUACAACUGAAAGUUCGCGAAUGGAAAUCCCUACCAUCAGAAGAACACCGGGUGAUGUUGGUUUAAUAAAUGAAGAGGACACUAGAUGAAAGCAUGCAUGGGAAAGAAGGAGUGCCAUGAGGCGCUGGAGGAGCGCUGCGCCGGAGCCGAUCAGAGGGGAACCCACAGGCUGCACAGUUGGGCUGAAAAUACAAUGUGGCGUCAAGGGGAGCCUGUGCUCCUGCUCGACCUGCACCAAAAUUACCCUCAACUAGGCAUAUCUUUUUGAAUCCCACCCGCAGAUGGACGCAGCAGUGCAAGUAGUCUGCUUUCCCCGAGUCAUUCGAAAUGCAUCCUUAAGUUUUGUACUCAUAAGUCCGCAUGACAGUUUUCCCGCCUGCUUGGUUCGUCCAAUUCAGUUUGCAGUUAGAAGCUAUAGAUAAUAUGGCAAUAGGCGGGCUGACUUGGAUUACUCUUCCGCCCACGUCAUUUUCAUUAUACACCGCUGCAACAGACUGUUUUUUUUUUUCGUUGCUAUGAACUGAAAUACUGCUCUGGUGCUGGCACAUAUGCAUUCACUUUGUAUGUAUUAGUGUUAUUUACAGAGUAUCACCAGCAAUCACAAAACUGCGUCUGCCACUACUCCUGACAGAUUUGUAACUCCAAGUCUGCAGCACACAGACUUCGCUGAAAUUUGGCACAAAUCUGUCCAAGUGCGUGCUUUAGAGUGAGAAUACUUGCGCGUAAGAAACAACAGUUGGUAGACGCCGCUGUCAUGAUCUAUCGCGCCACAGAGCACUAUUACACUGUAACAAUGUAGCUCGUAAGAGUCGACUUGGAUAGCAGAUCUCAGGUUUCUACGAGACGUGCAGCGUUUUCUACCCGGGUAUCCCUUAUCCUAGUUAUAUUUGUUGAAUACCUACCAAGAUACAUCAUCCAAAUGAAAUUGAUACUGAAAUUGGCAAAUUGGUGCUCUCAGGAAUGUAAACUCGUAUUUAGUGAGCACUGUUUGCUGACAUGGGAAACGAAAAAAAACCAAAACAAAACGAUGCUGAUAACCUUGACCUCAAAGACCAUGUGGCUUUCUUUGUUAAACGCACCCAGUCCAGACAUGCCAAGAUCUUCUUAAAUAAUGCAAUACUGGCGGUGUAAUUUUGGUGGCAAAACAGAUUUCUCCGAGUCGUGACUGCUAUAGUGAGUAAUAUGGGCGCGUUGGCUGCGUCAGGAGAUGCAGUCGCUGUGCGCUGCAGACGGAAGGGGGAGAAUCGUGACUGACUGCUGGAGACGUCCGCAGACGAAACGACCACCCAAUAAAAUCCUCUUAAUGGCAUCUGGGCAAGAUAUUUACACAUGUUAUCUCUCUAGCCCUUUACUCUUUGCGUUGAGCCACCUCAACCCCCCCUUGCACCACCGAAGACAUGAGAAGAAUAUCUGUGGAUCUUGGUUUGGGAUGAGUUCCGACUGGCGUGUGUGUGUGUGUAUGUAUGUGUGAGUGUGUGUGUGUGAGAGAGAGAAAGAGAGAGAGAGAAAGAGAGAGAGAGAGAGGGUGUGUGUGUGUGUGUGUGUGUGUGUUUGUGUGUGUGUGUGUAUACCGGGCGGGGAGGGGGGUCCAGAUAUAGAUCGUGACCCUCCCACCUAGUACAGUUUCUUGCAUAUAGUUCCAAAAAGGGAUUGCCAGAGACUUUGUGGUGCAUUUUGACAAAUGAUUACUAUGUGGAAUAUAGGAACAGGAAUUCUCUGGGUUUAGAAAAACCUCUGGAAGGAAUCUAGACGUACAGAUGCCUCAGCGUCUUCUUCCGUGCUGCCCCAUGCCCAUUGUUCACCUUGGCCUCUAUGGUGAAACCUGGAGGUCUGAAGAUUCACAAAGUCAUCUGAGGCACUACAUUCAAGUUUCUGCUUUCAUCAGCAGUAAAUGGAAGUCAUUUAAGAAAAUCCACAAGAAGAUGGAUCUGCCUCGUGCAAUCUGUUUAUCUCGGUUCCAUAUGUCAAGAGGCCAUUUCUGCAGCUUAAUCAAGGAACAAGAUGACAGAGUCUUAACAGAUAUUUAAACUUCUGCUUCUAAAAGCUCUGAUAUGCUUGGAUAUCUCUAACUGGUAAUUGGUGGACAUUGUAGUCUUUAUCGUUUUAUGGAAAUUUGAUCAUGUUUGGUGCCAUGUCAAUUUAGAGAGACUAGGAGAGAGGGCCUACCAGGUUUUAAUCUAGAGCAUAUAACAAAAAAUGAAAGAUUAAAUAAAUACAUGCAGAGUUGCUUAAAGCUAUUUUUAGGGUUUUGUUUCUUAUUUCUCAUAUAUUUACAACUGUUGAAAGGUGACAGUUUCACACACACUGUAAGCCCAUUAUUUGAAUAUGUCAGCAAGUUCUGUUGUACUACAAACUGUUAAAAGGGCUCUGCUAAAACUUGUAUUAAGGGGUGUAUUAAUAGAAAAGUGUGGUUUUAGGGCAAUUGGACUGUGUGAUUAUAUGGUAGAUGAAGGACAACGUGGCCAUCAUGAGCAGCCAUUUCAAUAAAUGGAGAAUGCCAGAAGUGACUGUUAUUGCAUGUGUGAGAGAUUUAGUAUGUUAAGGCAUACGUUUGAGCACGAAGGUGUGCACCCAUAUAUAGUGUGUAUAAGUGUCUGUGGAAGUGUGCCUGUAAAAGAGACGAUGUGCAUGUGCCCGUGUCUGGGUUUGUCUGCUAGUUUUGGUCAUAGAAUAUAAGUCCCUGUGUACAAGGAAAAGAUCAUAUAGUAAGGUUACCACACGAGUGUGCCAACAAUUACGUGUGUGUGUGUGUGUGUGUGUGUGUGUGUUUCUCUUGGUGUCUGUAUUGGCCGUUGCAUCACCGACAAAGUUUGGAGUUGAAUGUGUUCAGGAUCUGUGGGAUUUAAAACAUUUUAAAUAUACAUACAUUUUAAAUGUAUUUUACUUGAUAUUUUAUUUGUAUUGGAAUAAGACUGACUCUCAUAAUGUAGAAAUAUGUGCAUUUACCAUGGUGUCUUUCUGCUUGUCCAGAGCAGAUUUGUGAUUUUAGGCGUUUUCAUCAGCUUGUCAUUUGCAGUGUUUAUAAACACUGACACUGGCAUAACAUAGUGAUCAGUGUAUUUCCAUUACAUAGGUUAGAGGAAACGUAAAUAUGUAUGACCAUGUGACUGUACAUUUAAGUUGACCCUUAUAAGCAAUCAGUGUUUAUAUUUAUCAAUACUGAGUUGUUAAAAAUAUUUUAAUGCUAAUGUUUUAUUCGUAAACUAAGUGUAAGAUGUCCCCAUGUUCAAAAUAAUGUAUUGUGAUUAUUUAUUAUAUAAAUAUAUAUGGACGCAUGUGCUGUGUGUGUGUGUGUGUAUAGGCCUGAAUGUGUGUGAAGUUUGCUGUAUUUGUGAUUUACAUGAGAAGAUGCAGAAUUCUUCUCUGAGUGUGUAUGCGGGUUAUCAUGACUCAGUAUGUAUACUGUAAUAUAAGGAGACUGUAAGGUGCUUGCAUACAGAAGUUCAGGUAAAGACAAACAGUACUCUUAGGAAUUUUUCUGAUUAUGUAACUGCAGUUUUAUGUGUAAAAUGUAGUGUCGUAUAUAUUUUUGUAGACGUAUAAGUUUUGCUGUAAUAUGUGAAAAUAUGAGCUAAUCAUUAUUGCUUGUACGGUUAAUAUCUUUAAAUGUAAAAUGGAAGGAAAUAUUAUUUUAUAUAUUAUUGCAACCUGUGGGCGUUCUUAAAGAUGAUGUGCAAUGUUCUAUAUGUGUGUGUGUAUGCAUAUGUAUCUGUCUCUUUGUGUGUGUGUGUGCAUAUAUGUCUGUGUUUGUUUGUUGCUGGAAAAAAAAUCACUGGAAUAAUAUAACAUAAUUGUCUAUUAUUUGCUGGUGUUGUUAUCGACGUUUAAUUAUUCCUUUGUAUGUGUUUGGUUUUCUUUGCAUCAGAAAUCUUCUUUGCACCAUGCUGAACAAAAUCCUGUGGUUGUGUAUCUGCAGAAAGCUAAAAGUGAGGAUAUAAGCAGGUACGUCCAGCAUUAUCAGGAUCAGGAGCCUCUGACUCUAUAUAUAAUUUUGCCACUACAAUCAGCAGUGCUAUGAAAGCAUGACUGUACAGAAAUACUCAACAUGUAAUAUGUACACAUUUGUUUCUAAUUAUAGGUAUUAAACAAUUACAGCCUGGUAUGUAGAACGUGAUGUUUAUAUUUUGAUGUGAAAUGUGAAAUUAUAAGCAGAUAAUCAGGCUAUUUAUUGUUCUGUUUAUUUGUUUUAUUCAUGAAAUGAGACGUUAUAAUUCACAAAUGUGAUAUUUUUCAAGUUGUAAAGAGCAAACAAUCUUUUGACUUUGCAAUUGUCAUUUUUUCAUCUGUUUGUACAGAUGACCGUCAUGAACACGUGCACAGGGAUUUGGAUAACUGCACUGAAAUUCAUUUAGGACUGUUCUAUACUCGUCCAGGGCAGCUGGUUAAUUAAGGACCAAUUUGACACCGUCAGGUAUUUAAGUCUCUGUCUCUAUAGGGCUUGCGUUUGGAGCAGCAUGCAGACAUUGAGAACAUUGCCAUUUCCCGUCGUUUCUUGAUGCAUAUGAUGUGUGUGGUAUUUUAAAAAAAUAAUAGGAAUAAAAACAAAAAAGCAGAAUAAGGUAAUGACCAAGACGUAUGCUGAUCUAAGCUCUGGAGGAUGAAGUAAAACAUUGACAUUCUGAAUUUGGCUUAUAGAGCACGACUCUGUGUGUGUGUGUGUGUGUGUGUGUGUGUGUGUGUGUGUGUGUGUGUGUGUGUGUGUGUGUUCGUCUGUAAGUAGUGUGGCAGGGACAAUAUUGAGUGGUAGGAUGCAGGGUCUCAAACGUUAUCCUAGAGGACAAUAAGUGUUUUCUGUGCAAAGGUGUUAAUGGCUGUGGUAGGACGAUGCUUACAAAAAUAAGUCUUUGUUGCUGUAGACUAAAUGUCAUGGCAAUACUGAAUCUAGAGAAUUUAUAAGAUGUAAUCCAUGCAAAAGUGGUUCGUUAGACCUGAAUACAUGGCUAUUUUGAGGACUUUUGUCUGAAAGGAUAGACAAGAAGUCACAAGUCACGUUUCUGGGUUAAUGUUGAGAAGGUCGCUGUCCACUGCAAAGGUGCUGAUAACAAAAACCUGCACACAGACAUUAUAUUUCAGUGCGUUCUUGUCAAACUAUACGUUAGGUAAAUUGUCUAUAAUUGUUUUAUUGCUUACUACAGGCUGUAGUGAUGUUAAGGUGUGAUACAGACACACUGUACGUUGUAGUCCUAACAAUGUGCACGACUUAAAAUCAAUUACAUCCUCAGGCAUAGUGUCCAAAAAAGAAUUUCAUCGAGAGGCACGUAGACAAUUGCAGAGGUAAUGCACAAAAGAGUCAGAAAGCAGGAGAAAGGUGAGAACUGGGAAUACAUCGAUACUGCAGGUGGGGUGAGAGUAGCUCAGGGCGAGGAUGUGUGUGUAUGUGUGUGUGUGUGUGUGUGUGUGUGUGCAUGUACCCUUUGGGUGGAGUAUCUGUAAAAUACUGAAUAAGAAUGACUUUCUUUAACAAAAAAAUAAGCAAGAGGCAAUCUUUGGAACAAAGCCAAGUCUGUACGUCUGAACACACACUAUAAUCCACACUGUAAUCCAAACCUCAGCUGUAGUAUCAGUGUCUCUGACAAUAUGAGAGGAUAUUUUGCUUAAUAUAUACAUAUAUAUUAAUGUAUAGGCAAUAUAGCCAAUGUACUGAUCUAUUACAUAAUAUGAGGCUGAAAAUUGCGCUGUUCAAACGCUGGAAUUGUAAAAUGCAAUAAUUUCUGUAUCAGUGUUGCUGUUCUUUGUAUCUUACAUGUGCAAAGCAGAGGAAAUUCUAACACUCCUGUCGUGCAAGUCGUGUAGUCUGUGAGAUAAUGUCCUGUUUGUUGGGGUGCGUGCAUUACAAAUUUGGAUCCAGAGAUAUAUGCUGUAUUAUAUAUUUUAAGGUUUUGGUUUUAAUGUAUUUUGGCAUAGUGGUAUUGUAUCAUUUGUCAUUAUUUAAUAUCUUUAUUUCUUGUUUUGCUGUCAUGUUUGAGUUCAAAUAAAUAAAGCUUGUUUUGAAUUGUGCACA